rnacentral:lncRNA from 1 species
UGUAGUUCAAAAGUGGGAACUACUACUGAAUGGUGCAUUGCAUUGUUGGUUAUGGUUAGAAGUGGAACCAUAAUUUUUUUUUGCAUUAUUAUAUGCCAUGCAUCAUAUUAUGUUGGUGUGUUGAAAAAGGCUAGUCAUUUGAUCAAAAGUAGGGACUUGGUUCAUCCGGGGUUCAAAAGUGAGGACCUGGUUCGAAUGAGGAACCAUUGUCGAGUGGACGAGAUCAGUAAAAAACCUCUGAUGUCCAAAUCGGUACCACAUGUAUUGAGUCGAGUUGUGAG